CAGUAGCCGCGGGAAUACGUAGGUGGCAAGCGUUGUCCGGAAUUAUUGGGCGUAAAGGGCUCGCAGGCGGUUUCUUAAGUCUGAUGUGAAAGCCCCCGGCUCAACCGGGGAACGGGCACCGAUACGAGCGGUCUCGAGGGGGGUAGGGGGGUCUGGAACUUCCGAUGGAGCGGUGAAAUGCGUUGAGAUCGGAAGGAACGCCCGUGGCGAAAGCGAGGCCCUGGACCCUUUUCUGACGCUGAGACGCGAAAGCCAGGGGAGCGAACGGGAUUAGAUACCCCAGUAGUCCCUGUCUCUUAUA
rnacentral:rRNA from 1 species